rnacentral:rRNA from 1 species
GUGGAUCAUGUGGCUUAAUUUGACUCAACGCGGGAAAUCUUACCAGGUCCGGACAUAUUGAGGAUUGACAGGCGAUAGUAAUAUUAUUAUAUAAUAUUGCAUAAAAAUGAUAGUCCUUUCAUGAUUAUAUGAUAGGUGGUGCAUGGCCGUUCUUAGUUCGUGGAGUGAUUUGUCUGCUUAAUUGCGUUUCAGAUAUAUAAUUAUAUAAUAUAUUAUAUAGUAAUAUAUAAUUUAAUAUUGUGCUGCCUUAUAUAUUAUUUAUAAGGAUUUUAAGUGAACAUAUUUUAUUAUACAUAUAUUAUUAUAUAUAUUUAUUAUAUAUUAAAAUGAAUGCAACGAACGUGACCGUAACCUUUUAUUGCUAUAAAUAAUAUAUAUUAUUUAUAUUAUAAUAUAGCAUAAAAUUAAAGGGACCGCUGUCUAAAUUUUAGUGUUAAAAUAGAGUAAGAUUACGGCAAUAACAGGUCUGUGAUGCCCUCAGAUGUUCUGGGCUGCACACGUGCUACAAUAAUUACAUUAAUAAGUAUCUAUUAUAAUACAUAAUAUGUUUACAUAUUAUAAUAAACCUAUUUCGAAAGUAAAUGGGUAAUCAUUUAAAAAUCGUGAUUAUUCAUACAUAUAUGGUAUAUUAAUAUUGUAUAAUACUAUACAUUUUAUAGUACUAUUACAAAUACCAUUAAUUAAUUUAAGGUGGGGAUAGUGUAUUGUUAAUUAUUACACUUGGCCUUAACUAGGAAUGCCUUGUACUCUUCUUUGGUUUAACAUACCAAGAGGAAUACGUCCCUGCCCUUUGUACACACCGCCCGUCGCUCUUACCGAUGAAUUAUAUUAUAAAUCUAAGGGACAUACAUAUCCUGAAAUUGAAUAUAUUG